AUGGAAACUUCACCAGGAGUCUCAUCCAAAGACUGCUGGCAUCAGCAGAAAUUCACUGUGCUGCCCAAAGAAACGCAGCGGAGCGCUACGAGCUGUAUUCCUCAGCGCCAGCAGCUGCUGGUAGCGCUCAGUGCUUCACUGGAAUCCGGGCACUGGUGGGAGGAGCUGGGCAGCAAGCAGGGCUUGUGGAAAACGGCAGCUCCUGCACGUCCGUGCACCCAGGAAUCCAGUUUCUCCUUUCCUCAUAAACGGGAGAGUGAAGGCAGUGUCUGUGGCCUAAAACUCUUCCUGAGCUCAACCACAACCAUCUGUGGCCCAUCACAGCCGUCACUCUCCAGCCAAGCGCAAACCAAGCCAGCAGCUCUCAGCACUCAGAUGAGGCAGCAUCGGCAGCACUCAGCCUUACCAGACCUCUCACAGCCCGGACGCCUCGUCACCGGGCGCGUUUCACUGCUCCUCUCAGCGCUGGUUCUACAGUCACCACGGCAGCGUCCUCCGAAUAACCUGCGAACCCGGCUCUGCCAUCACGGCCGCCACC
rnacentral:lncRNA from 1 species